rnacentral:rRNA from 1 species
CAUGCAAGUCGAACGGGAUCCAUCAGGCUUUGCUUGGUGGUGAGAGUGGCGAACGGGUGAGUAAUGCGUGACCGACCUGCCCCAUACACCGGAAUAGCUCCUGGAAACGGGUGGUAAUGCCGGAUGCUCCAGUUGAUCGCAUGGUCUUCUGGGAAAGCUUUCGCGGUAUGGGAUGGGGUCGCGUCCUAUCAGCUUGACGGCGGGGUAACGGCCCACCGUGGCUUCGACGGGUAGCCGGCCUGAGAGGGCGACCGGCCACAUUGGGACUGAGAUACGGCCCAGACUCCUACGGGAGGCAGCAGUGGGGAAUAUUGCACAAUGGGCGCAAGCCUGAUGCAGCGACGCCGCGUGAGGGAUGGAGGCCUUCGGGUUGUAAACCUCUUUUAUCGGGGAGCAAGCGAGAGUGAGUUUACCCGUUGAAUAAGCACCGCUAACU